rnacentral:rRNA from 1 species
UACGGAGGGUGCGAGCGUUGUCCGGAAUCACUGGGCGUAAAGGGCGCGUAGGCGGCGCGGGUAGUCAACGGUGAAAGCUUGGGGCUCAACCCCGAGUCGGCCGUCGAUACUCCCGUGCUUGAGCACUGUAGAGGCAGGUGGAAUUCCGGGUGUAGCGGUGGAAUGCGUAGAGAUCGGGAGGAACACCAGUGGCGAAGGCGACUACCUGGCCUGUUCUUGACGCUGAGGCGCGAAAGCUAGGGGAGCAAACGGG